rnacentral:rRNA from 1 species
UACGAAGGGUGCAAGCGUUGUUCGGAAUUAUUGGGCGUAAAGGGUUCGUAGGCUGGAAGCAAAGUCAAGCGUGAAAUCCUCAGGCUUAACCUGAGAGCUGCACUUGAUACUGGUUUUCUUGAGUGCUGGAGAGGGUGGCGGAAUUGCUGGUGUAGGAGUGACAUCCGUAGAGAUCAGCAGGAACAUCAGAGGCGAAAGCGGCCACCUGGUCAGAUACUGACGCUGAGGAACGAAAGCGUGGGGAGCAAACAGG